rnacentral:misc_RNA from 1 species
UGGACUACUCGGGUUUCUAAUCCUGUUUGCUCCCCACGCUUUCGUGCCUCAGCGUCAGUAUCGGGCCAGUGAGCCGCCUUCGCCACUGGUGUUCUUGCGAAUAUCUACGAAUUUCACCUCUACACUCGCAGUUCCACUCACCUCUCCCGAACUCAAGAUCUUCAGUAUCAAAGGCAGUUCUGGAGUUGAGCUCCAGGAUUUCACCCCUGACUUAAAGACCCGCCUACGCACCCUUUACGCCCAGUGAUUCCGAGCAACGCUAGCCCCCUUCGUAUUACCGCGGCGGCUGACAC